rnacentral:rRNA from 2 species
AGCCAUGCCGCGUGUGUGAAGAAGGCCCUCGGGUUGUAAAGCACUUUCAGCGAGGAAGAACGCCUAGCGGUUAAUACCCGCUAGGAAAGACAUCACUCGCAGAAGAAGCACCGGCUAACUCCGUGCCAGCAGCCGCGGUAAUACGGAGGGUGCAAGCGUUAAUCGGAAUUACUGGGCGUAAAGCGCGCGUAGGUGGCUUGAUAAGCCGGUUGUGAAAGCCCCGGGCUCAACCUGGGAACGGCAUCCGGAACUGUCAAGCUAGAGUGCAGGAGAGGAAGGUAGAAUUCCCGGUGUAGCGGUGAAAUGCGUAGAGAUCGGGAGGAAUACCAGUGGCGAAGGCGGCCUUCUGGACUGACACUGACACUGAGGUGCGAAAGCGUGGGUAGCAAACAGGAUUAGAUACCCUGGUAGUCCACGCCGUAAACGAUGUCGACCAGCCGUUGGGUGCCUAGCGCACUUUGUGGCGAAGUUAACGCGAUAAGUCGACCGCCUGGGGAGUACGGCCGCAAGGUUAAAACUCAAAUGAAUUGACGGGGGCCCGCACAAGCGGUGGAGCAUGUGGUUUAAUUCGAUGCAACGCGAAGAACCUUACCUACUCUUGACAUCCUGCGAAUUUGGUAGAGAUACCUUAGUGCCUUCGGGAACGCAGAGACAGGUGCUGCAUGGCUGUCGUCAGCUCGUGUUGUGAAAUGUUGGGUUAAGUCCCGUAACGAGCGCAACCCUUGUCCUUAUUUGCCAGCGCGUAAUGGCGGGAACUCUAAGGAGACUGCCGGUGACAAACCGG